rnacentral:rRNA from 1 species
UACGUAGGGAGCAAGCGUUGUCCGGAAUUAUUGGGCGUAAAGCGCGUGUAGGCGGUCCGAAUAGUCUGGUGUGAAAUCUGAGGGCUCAACCCUCAGCUGUCACUGGAUACUGGCGGACUUGAGUCCGGAAGAGGAGUGUGGAAUUCCUGGUGUAGCGGUGAAAUGCGUAGAUAUCAAGAGGAACACCUGCGGCGAAGGCGGGUUGCUGGGCCGACACUGACGCUGAUGCGCGAAAGCUAGGGGAGCGAACGGG